GAAUUAUGAAGUUAUGUUUUGAAAACAUGAUGUAGGAGAUUUCCUGUAAUUUU
rnacentral:tRNA from 1 species